rnacentral:other from 2 species
UAUCCCCUGAGGUGUACGUGUUGCAAUUCAAUGGUGCCGGCCGUACAAGCGAUUUUAGGGAGUUGAUAGACAAAAUGGUGUGCAUGCCUUGCCGCAAGGAAGCCUGAAGUUUUGCUGAUAUUCCCACCCUGGCAAGCCAGGUCACGUGCCCUUAUUGGUCACGGCAUCUUGGGGUUUCA